rnacentral:tRNA from 1 species
GGCAAGGUGGCCGAGUGGUCUAAGGCGGAUGACUCAAGCGUCAAAGCUUCCCUGAACAAGGGGUUUCAUCUCUCGCAAGAGGCGUGGGUUCGAAUCCCACCCUUGUCA